UCGAGCAGUAGAAAAGUUUUGCUUUCUCUUCUUCAUGCCCAGUAUCGACUAUUGUUUGAUUUCAAUAUGCGAUUCAAAUUUUGGAAUAAGUCAGGAGGAAGUAUUAAAUGCGGCUACUAUGUGAUGAAUUUCAUGAUGGAGAUAGCUUACGAAAGAGUUGAAAUACUGGUCAAUGACAAUGUUGGGGAAAGAGAAAGAGUAGAGGAAUACUUGGCUAUGGAUAUGGAUGACAUUCGCGAAGAAUGGUCGAGUUAUGCGGCUACCUUUAUUUUUAAGUGACAAAACUUAUCUUAGGUGUUGACGAAUGUACUACAAACAAUAUUUUUGUUAAACUUAAAAUAUUUGUAAUAUACUUCACAAAUG